GACGAACGCUGGCGGCGUGCCUAAUACAUGCAAGUCGAGCGAAGCGGCGGAUGGGUGAGUAACGCGUGGGUAACCUGCCCUUAAGUCUGGGAUACCAUUUGGAAACAGCUGCUAAUCCCGGAUAAUAAAGGAUGGACCUGCGAUGCAUUAACUAGUUGGUAAAGUAACGGCUUACCAAGGCGAUGAUGCAUAGCCGAGUUGCUAGACGGAUCGGCCACAUUGGGACUGAGACACGGCCCAAACGCCUACGGGAGGCAGCAGUAGGGAAGCUUCCACAAUGGACGAAAGUCUGAUGGAGCAACGCCGCGGGAGUGAAGAAGGUUUUCGGAUCGUAAAGCUCUGUUGUUGGUGAAGCGGUAAUCAACCAGAAAGUCACGGCUAACUACGUGCCAGCAGCCGCGGUAAUUC
rnacentral:rRNA from 1 species